GAUGAACGCUGGCGGCGUGCCUAAUACAUGCAAGUCGAGCGAACGGACGAGAAGCUUGCUCUUCUGAUGUUCGCGGCUGACGGGUGAGUAACGCGUGGAUAACCAACCUAUAAGACUGGGAUAACUUAGGGAAACCGUAGCUAAUAACGGAACAUCUUUUGAACCGCAUGGUUCAAAAGUGACAGACGGUCUUGCUGUCACCUAUAGAUGUAUCCGAUCUGCGUUAGCUAGUUGGUAAGGUAAGGGUUUACCAAGGCAACGAAGGAUAGCGGACCUGAAAGGGGGAGCGGCGACACCGGAACGGGAACACGGCCCACAACCCUACGGGAGGGAGCAGGAGGGAACUUUCCGCAAUGGGCGAAGGCCGGACGGAGCAACGCCGCGGGAGUGAUGAAGGUCUUCGGAUCGUAAAACGCUUGUAGUAGGGAAGAACAUAUGUUUAAGUAAGUGGGCACAACUUGACGGGACCUAAACAGAAAGCCACGGCUAAAUACGUG
rnacentral:rRNA from 1 species